rnacentral:rRNA from 1 species
UGAGGAAUAUUGGGCAAUGCCCGAAAGGGUGACCCAGCAACGCCGCGUGGAGGAUGAAGUCCUUCUGGACGUAAACUCCUUUUAGAGGGGACGAAAAGCCCGAUAUGUCGGGAAUUGACGGUACCCUCAGAAAAAGCACCGGCUAACUACGUGCCAGCAGCCGCGGUAAUACGUAGGGUGCAAGCGUUGUCCGGAUUCACUGGGUGUAAAGGGUGCGCAGGCGGGCUCUUAAGUCAAAGGUGAAAUCUCUCGGCUUAACCGAGAAAUUGCCUUUGAUACUGAGAGUCUUGAGUACGGGAGAGGGAGAUGGAAUUCCAGGUGUAGCGGUGAAAUGCGUAGAUAUCUGGAGGAACACCGGAGGCGAAGGCGGUCUCCUGGCCCGUUACUGACGCUCAGGCACGAAAG